UUUUCCUGGAGCUCACUGAGGCCAGACUGGGUCAGAGAGCCAGCCAAAUAGUGCUCACAGGGUUCAAACAUCCGCAGACUCAUCUCCAGUUUUUCUCUAACUAUUUCUAGCUGUCCCCGCGUCCUCUUUACCCCGAUGACCUAAAAAGAAAGCAAUGCUAUCCUCGUUUUGAUUUCAUUAAAAUUUGACCAACGUCCAAGUAGUUCAUCCAUAAAGAGGCUCAGAAAGUGCUGCCGGGGAACCCAGGGCGGCUUGUAUAAUUUAAAUAAUAGUUUCUCCCACGUUACAUGAGGUAAACUUUGGAGGUAAAACAAAAAGGAAAGUUGAUUCUUUGACAAAGGCUUCUGGUCAAGAACCAGGGAGGAAUCCAGAUUCUGCCUUAUUAAAACAAUAAUUUAAACUCCAUUUAAUAUUGCUUCGGUUGAUAAUCCCGUGCUGGCAGCUUUGGCUCGAGUGUGAGCACAGUUCAUCACCCAUUCAGAAUUUUGCUAGCAGAAUUUUGCUUUGUCGAUAAGGUGCCCUGUUCUAGAAUUACCCACACAAAGACCUAGUAUUGAUAAAAAGGAAUUCGACUUAGGGCUUUAAGGGAAGAGCGUGUCUCAACCCAGGCACUGGAGAGUAACACAAGCUUUGCAUUCAGCUUUUCCAGAAUCGACUCCAGGAUCUUAUCGGAAGGGACCAGCAGGUUCUGGAUUUUCCUAAGCUUGGACUGCAUUUUUCAUUCUUCUGGAAACAACCUUAAGUUCAGGAGGCCGAGAAACCUAAGAACCUGGAACCAGCAUCCAGCAUGGACUUUUGUGCAGCAUGGAGAGCUGGGCUAAAUGUAUCCUUUGAUCUUAAAGGCCCCACCUCAUAUAAUGACAACUGAGUUGCAGCAUGAAUUUGGAAGAGACCUUAAACCAUCAUACUGGUAAGGGAUGGUGUGUGAGAACAUGCUGGGACAGUUGAAGAAGAGCACCUAUCAUGUUCAAACUCUGUUUUUAUAUUAAACCAACCUACAAGCAUA